GACGAACGCUGGCGGCGCGCCUAACACAUGCAAGUCGAACGAGCGAGAGAGAGCUUGCUUUCUCGAGCGAGUGGCGAACGGGUGAGUAACGCGUGAGGAACCUGCCUCAAAGAGGGGGACAACAGUUGGAAACGACUGCUAAUACCGCAUAAGCCCACGGCACGGCAUCGAGCCGGGGGAAAAGGAGCAAUCCGCUUUGAGAUGGCCUCGCGUCCGAUUAGCUAGUUGGUGGGGUAACGGCCCACCAAGGCGACGAUCGGUAGCCGGACUGAGAGGUUGAACGGACACACUGGGACUGAGACACGGCCCAGACUCCUACGGGAAGCAGCAGUGGGGAAUAGUGCACCAUGGGGGAAACGCUGAUGCAGCGACGACGCGUGGAGGAAGAAGGUCUUCGGAUUGUAAACUCCUGUUGUUGGGGAAGAUAAUGACGGUACCCAACCAGGAAGUGACGGCUAACUACGUG
rnacentral:rRNA from 1 species